CAAGAGGUGGAAGCAGGCAAACGUCCAUCCACAGACGAACCAAGUGUGGUCCAUACCCGCGAUGGAGCAUUACUCAGCUUUAGAAAAAGAGGCGAUGCCGACCCUGGUUCCAAUGUGGAUGAAGCUGAAGACAUUAUGACUAGGAAACUGAGGCUCAGAGAAGGGACUCAUUGGCUCAAAACAGGGCCUGGAUGUCUGUGCAACGCCAUCCUUGCUGGGGAUGGGGCCAAGGACUUAGGCCUCCCCGGAGCUCGAGAUUUCACUCCCAGGACGUCCUCCAGUUCGGGGACCAUGGACAAGUCCUCGCUGAGGCACCACCGCCUCCCGUGUCAGGAGGGCCGGGUAUCACCUUCUCACCAAGGACCCACUUCGCUGGUCUCUUUCCUCUCCCUCCACCCAGCCGAACC